GCGACCCGCCAGGACCCGAAAGGAGCCGCCCAGACUGGUGGUGCAGACGCUGAGAUCGGCCGACCCUCAGUACAGCGAGGACGAAGCCGACGCUGCGAGGCGAGAGGAGAGAGAUUCAGAUUCAAAAAAGCAGCCGGAGGAGCCGGAAGGAGCGACUGCAGCUCAAACUAAACCCACAGAAUCACCGAAGCCGAAGAAUAAACUGAGAAAACUGAAGCUUUCUCCAGACGAACCCGACGGAGACGGAGCAGAACCGAAACCAGCAGAGAGGAGACCCCACGUUCAGGACCUGGAGGCCUCAGCUGGAGACGCUUCGUCUGUCUCGCUGACAAACGUCGAAACCGUGGGAACUCCGGUCCAGGAGUCCGGUGGCCGAGUAGGAAGAUUAACGGAGCGGACACACCUGACCGACCAGUUUACUGAUCUACAGACCUGCUGACCUGGACCAUUGACCAAUCAGCAGCCGGUAUCAUGGAGGAAGUAAAUGUCGAAAACAGCUCCGCUUACGGUUGAAUUACGGUCUUCCUGGAUGGUGGAAGACGGAGUAAAAGCCGGGAUUUGAACGAGGAAAUAGCUUGAAAUUUGAAUCAAAAUGGUUAUUUUGUCAUUUACAAAGCAGAAUGCGAUUUUAUAGAUGCUGUUAGGAUGUUUUUCUGGCCGGUUUUCCUGAAUAUCAGUGAUCCUUCCUUCCAUUUUCCAUUCUGAAGGUUGAUCUAGAUGUAAAAAACAGAACAGGACCGACUCGUCUGGAGCUGAAUGUGUGAAUUUCAAACAUUUUUAAACCAAACUGGACAACAAAAUCAUCAUAAAUCAGUAGAAAUGGACAUUUUGAAAGCGUAAUGAUGAAAGCACAAACAUUUGACUUAAUUAGAAGAAAUAAAGCUUUGAUAAACAGCUUUUCAGCUCACUGGUUUGUGUUUUCACAGAUUUGCUUUAUUCUACCUGUUGGUGUCAGUGCGUUUAGCUGCUAACCAGACAGAUGUUUAACUCUGUUGGUGAAAAGUAAAAAAAAAAAAAAAAGAUGCGUAAAUAUUGCACUUACAUUUUCAGGUGGCCAAAACCCAAUAAUCAACUUGUAAUCUCUCAAUUCUCCGUGUCCACGUGUGUUUUACAGUUUACCAUUUAAGAUUUGUAAAUCAUGUCUGAUUUCUCUGAUAAUAAUGUAAAUUAUGUUAUUUUCAUUUCAUACAUGUACUCCAUCUGCUGUCAUUUGUUAAAUUUGAAGCUAUUGUUUAAAUAAAACUCUUAUUUUGC